rnacentral:rRNA from 1 species
GAUGAACGCUGGCGGCGUGCCUAAUACAUGCAAGUCGAGCGAACAGACGCGGAGCUUGCUCCUCUGACGUUAGCGGCGGACGGGUGAGUAACACGUGGAUCACCUACCUAUCAGACUGGGAUAACUUCGGGAAACCGGCGCUAAUACCGGAUAAUCUAUUGCACCGCAUGGUUCAAUAGUGAAAUACGGUUUUUCUGUCACUUAUAGAUGGAUCCGCGCCGCAUUAGAUAGUUGGUAAGGUAACGGCUUACCAAGGCAACGAUGCGUAGCCGACCUGAUAGGGUGAUCGCCCACACUGGAACUGGGACACGGUCCAUGCUCCUACGGGAGGCAGCAGUAGGGAAUCUUCCGCAAUGGGCGAAAGCCUUACGCAGCAACGCCGAGUGAGUGAUGAAGGUCUUCGGAUCGUAAAACUCUGUUAUUAGGGAAGAACAAAUGUGUAAGUAACUAUGCACGUCUUGACGGUACUUAAUCAGAAAGCCACGGCUAACUACGUG